rnacentral:rRNA from 1 species
UGGGGAAUUUUGGACAAUGGGCGAAAGCCUGAUCCAGCAAUGCCGCGUGAGUGAAGAAGGCCUUCGGGUUGUAAAGCUCUUUUGUCAGGGAAGAAACGGUGAAAGCUAAUAUCUUUUGCUAAUGACGGUACCUGAAGAAUAAGCACCGGCUAACUACGUGCCAGCAGCCGCGGUAAUACGUAGGGUGCAAGCGUUAAUCGGAAUUACUGGGCGUAAAGCGUGCGCAGGCGGUUUUGUAAGUCUGAUGUGAAAUCCCCGGGCUCAACCUGGGAAUUGCAUUGGAGACUGCAAGGCUAGAAUCUGGCAGAGGGGGGUAGAAUUCCACGUGUAGCAGUGAAAUGCGUAGAUAUGUGGAGGAACACCGAUGGCGAAGGCAGCCCCCUGGGUCAAGAUUGACGCUCAUGCACGAAAGCGUGGGGAGCAAACAGGAUUAGAUACCCUGGUAGUCCACGCCCUAAACGAUGUCUACUAGUUGUCGGGUCUUAAUUGACUUGGUAACGCAGCUAACGCGUGAAGUAGACCGCCUGGGGAGUACGUCGCAAGAUUAAAAC